rnacentral:rRNA from 1 species
GAUUCCCUAGUACUGCGAGUGAAGCGGGAAAAGCUCAAAUUUAAAAUCCUUCGGGAGUUGUAAUGUAUAGAAGUGUUUUCGGUCGUUGCCUCGGACAAGUCUCUUGGAACAGAGCGUCAUAGAGGGUGAGAAUCCCGUCCUUGCCGAGCUCCCAACGUCUAUGUGAUACACUUUCAAAGAGUCGAGUUGUUUGGGAAUGCAGCUCAAAAUGGGUGGUAAACUCCAUCUAAAGCUAAAUAUUGGCGAGAGACCGAUAGCGAACAAGUACCGUGAGGGAAAGAUGAAAAGCACUUUGGAAAGAGAGUUAAACAGUACGUGAAAUUGUUGAAAGGGAAGCGCUUGAAGUCAGUCGCGUUGCAAGGACUCAGCCUCACGGUGUAUUUCUUUGCAACGGGUCAACAUCAGUUUUGACCGCGGGAAAAGGGCUCGAGGAAUGUGGCAACCUCGGUUGUGUUAUAGCCUCCUGUCGUACACCGCGGUCGGGACUGAGGUCUGCUUACAGGAUGUUGACGAAAUGGCUUUAAGCGACCCGUCUUGAAC